rnacentral:rRNA from 1 species
UGAACGCUGGCGGCGUGCUUAACGCAUGCAAGUCGAACGUGAAGCCCGGUACUAGUAUUGGGUGGAAAGUGGCGAACGGGUGAGUAACACGUUGGUGACCUGCCCUGAGGAGGGGAAUAACCGUGGGAAACCACGGCUAAUACCCCGGAUGUCUAAGCUGUUAGAGGGCUUAGACUAAAGCCCCUGCAAGGGGUGCGCCUCGGGAGGGGCCUGCGGGCUAUCAGCUUGUUGGUGGGGUAAUGGCUUACCAAGGCGAAGACGGCUAGGGGGCGUGAGAGCGCGACCCCCCACAAUGGAACUGAGACACGGUCCAUACUCCUACGGGAGGCAGCAGUGAGGAAUAUUGCGCAAUGGGGGCAACCCUGACGCAGCAACGCCGCGUGGACGAUGAAGGCCUUCGGGUUGUAAAGUCCUUUUCUGAAGGAAGAUAGUGACGGUACUUCAGGAAUAAGUCCCGGCUAACUACGUGCCAGCAGCCGCGGUAAAACGUAGGGGGCGAGCGUUAUCCGGAUUUACUGGGCGUAAAGCGCACGUAGGCGGCAUCGUAAGUUGGACGUGAAAGCUCCCGGCUCAACUGGGAGAGGUCGUUCAAAACUGUGGUGCUUGAGGUUGAUAGAGGAGAGUGGAAUUCCCGGUGUAGUGGUGGAAUGCGUAGAUAUCGGGAGGAACACCAGUGGCGAAGGCGGCUCUCUAGGUCACACCUGACGCUGAGGUGCGAAAGCGUGGGGAGCGAACGGGAUUAGAUACCCCGGUAGUCCACGCUGUAAACGAUGGAUACUAGGUGUGGGAGGUUAUUUACCCCUUCUGUGCCGUAGCUAACGCGUUAAGUAUCCCGCCUGGGGACUACGCCCGCAAGGUUAAAACUCAAAGGAAUUGACGGGGGCCCGCACAAGCAGCGGAGCGUGUGGUUUAAUUCGAUGAUACGCGAAGAACCUGACCGGGGCUAGACAUGGUGUUAUUAGUGAAGCGAAAGCGGAACGACCCUUCGGGGAGCCAUCACAGGUGCUGCAUGGCUGUCGUCAGCUCGUGUCGUGAGAUGUUGGGUUAAGUCCCGCAACGAGCGCAACUCUCGUCGCUAGUUAUAUGUGUCUAGUGAGACUGCCGGUAUCAAACCGGAGGAAGGUGGGGAUAACAUCAAGUCAGCAUGGUCUUUAUGUCCAGGGCUA